rnacentral:lncRNA from 1 species
CAUGCCAUAGGGCAGGGGUCGGCACCCCAACCUGUCAAGGCAACUGCCCGAGGGUUCCUGCCUCCACUGUAACACCCAAAAUUUAAUUUUGAAUUAAUAGGAUUUAAUUGGAAUUAUUUAAGCAAUUUUUGUGGGCAUUUAAUCUAGUAAAUAAAAUAUUUUUGUCAAAAUUAAAAUUUAACAUAAGAUUAGAAACUUGUUUAUGCAUUCAUGCCGAAGAAUAUUUUAUUUUGUAUUGUUUGCCUCUGACUUGAAUUUAUUUGCAUUCAAAAUUUUAUUUGAAAAAGGUUUAUUUUGGAAAAGAAAACAUAAAAGAAAAUAAAAAAACAAAAAACCCCAGCCGAACCCCCCUCACCCCACGCGCGGCCCACUCCUUUCCGCAGCCCAGUUAACCCCCGCAGCCCACUGGCUUUUCCCCCACGCCCCGGCCCAUUCUUUCGCGGCCCAACUGCGCGGCCAGCGCUUUCUCUCUCUCACUGACGAUCGGGGCCCACAAGUCAGCGUUCUCCUUCCUUCUUUCUUCAGCGUGACACCGAGCCGUAGCCGAUGGAAACUCCGAACGGAAUCCCGGCUUCCUCGGGAUCUUUCCCUUUCGACGCGGUUUGGAGCCCUAUAAAUCCCCUAGGUCAACCCCGCGGCCUUCCCUUUGCUUUGCGGCUGCCAAACCGAGCCCUAGACACCUUGAUCUGUGCGCGUUUGGAUCUCGCCGUGUUGAGAGCAAAACGCUGCCGCGAUGCGCCGCUCCUGCUCCUCUCUGUGCCUUCUCAGCUCGAGAAAACCAUCCUAGCGAGUUCGGGGUAAGCUCCUUCACGCGUUGGUAUUUUUAUUGCAGAGUUUGGUGCUUGGAAAUGAGAAACCCGCGAACGCCGGCGAGCUUCCGAACGGUGGCCAUGGUGCCACCGAGCGGUGCUGAGCUCCGGUCGGCCAGCCACCCGCCUUCCCCC